AGCUUUGCGCAGUGGCAGUAUCGUAGCCAAUGAGGUUUAUCCGAGGCGCGAUUAUUGCUAAUUGAAAGCAGCAGCAUUUCAUCUGAAAGGAAGAAGGUUGAAUGUUUGCCAAAAUGAAUGUGUAUAAAUUUGUAAAAUAAGUUCAUU